rnacentral:rRNA from 1 species
ACCUUACCUGGUCUUGACAUCCACAGAACUUACCAGAGAUGCUUUGGUGCCUUCGGGAACUGUGAGACAGGUGCUGCAUGGCUGUCGUCAGCUCGUGUUGUGAAAUGUUGGGUUAAGUCCCGCAACGAGCGCAACCCUUAUCCUUUGUUGCCAGCGGUUAGGCCGGGAACUCAAAGGAGACUGCCAGUGAUAAACUGGAGGAAGGUGGGGAUGACGUCAAGUCAUCAUGGCCCUUACGACCAGGGCUACACACGUGCUACAAUGGCAUAUACAAAGAGAAGCGACCUCGCGAGAGCAAGCGGACCUCAUAAAGUAUGUCGUAGUCCGGAUUGGAGUCUGCAACUCGACUCCAUGAAGUCGGAAUCGCUAGUAAUCGUAGAUCAGAAUGCUACGGUGAAUA